AACUCAAAAUUCAACUAGGAAAUGAAAAUAACUGUUAAAUAUUGUAUAAGUCAACUAUUACUGAUCCCAAAUCAUCCUUGAUGAUUGCAACUUCCUCUGUUCGAAAAUUAUAGUCAAGAAUUCCUCUUCUAGAGCUUCUGUAAUAUUUAUCGACUGUCAAAAUUUAAUGAUAACUAUCACUAUUCAAUAUUUUUAUGACACAAAUUUAACCUUUGUGCAAAGACCACGUUAUUAGAACACCUGUCUUCCAGGUUCUCAAUUUCACCAAACAGGCAUUUUUUAGCCCAACUAGACUACCUUAUUUUCAGUAGCUAGAUUACCAUAAUCUGUUUCGUUUGAGGUCUAUUAGAUAUAAAAUUAAAUCAAUCAAUGUGCAUGCAUAAUUUUUUCUUUAUUUGGAAUCUUGUUCUAGCAUAAUGACAAGCCAUCUUAAUCAUUUACAAGAACAAGUUCAUAAAACACUACCUAUUUUCUCUCUAGAGGACACCCAUUAUUUUAUGCCUCUCACUCACAAAUAAAAACUAUAAUUCCUCAAUGUCAAAUCUUGAGAUGACAGUAUUAUUUGAUACAAAGACUUGAGUAUGAGAAUGUGCUUAUCCAUUGGUGAAUCAGCUAGUAACACAUUUUGUAUAAAACAACAAAACUUUUAUCAGCUCAUUUUAGUAAUUUAAUAGUUUUUAGCAGCUCACAAAGAGUUUCCAUCAUCUCUCACAAUCAAUUCCCUGAUUACUUUGCCCAAGUUAAUUGUUACUUCCUAAACCAAACUUCUUGAUUACUUUGCCCAUGUUUUCCCAUCAAACAGUUUCCAUAAUAUUUGUCAAAAUUCAUGACUCCUAAGUAGUAAUCACUGAAUUAGUAUUUCUACAGUUUAAUAGCAUAAAUUCAACCUUUGUGCCAAAGCCACACUAUCAAGCCAUCUGAUUUUCAGCUUCACUAAUGUCCCCAAAAGGGUUUUUACACCAGCUAAGCCUACCUCAUCUCUCAUUCCCUAGGUAAAAAAAUCCAUAUAUUUGAAAUCAACAGAUCCAAAAUUAGAG
rnacentral:misc_RNA from 1 species